AACAGCUAGCUGUAAGGAAUCUAUAUAAUAUGUAAUUCCAAGUAUUCCCGUGAGAGUGUCCGGCUGGAUUCACAAUGACAUGCCACAUCAGUUUUUUCAAACACUCCAAAUGAGCUUCUACUACAGAUACCCUAAGCUCCUGGUGGAAAGACUCUUCACAUAUCAUCAAUUAAUGUUUCAUUUAAAGAGUUUGUAGUGCUACAACAUGAAUACUUUCAGCCUGGAUAAUUAAUCUUUUCGCCCAUUUUCUGUGAUUCCUUUUUUUUUUUUUUUUGGGGGGUAAGUCAUCUGCUGCAAUAUUUGUUCCACAAAGCUGCAAGACAGAGUCGCUGCCCAAGGCCCCAAGCUGCCCAGUUUCGGCUUGUAAGAGGUAGGAGCAAAAAUUGCUUGAUUCAAGGAGGGCAGCAGCCGCAGCACGCUCCUCCAAGCGUUCAGACUUAGAAGUACAAGCUUCCAGCUCGAGCUGAUGAGUACCAUCUUGCAAGGGCUCGAAGGGGGAGCAGGCUCCUCAAAGCAGUCAGAUUUAGAACAACAAGCUUUAGCUCCAGCUAACCAGAACCGUCUUGCAAGAGCUCGAAGGAGGCAGAUUCUUCGUGCAAAAAUGAUGUCUAUCUACUUGGAUAACAGAGCUUCCAUUUGUAACCAAAAUUUGGGAGUGCCCUUACUAUCCUAUAAAACUAUCGAAUGGAAGAUAUAACGGAUGAGAACAUUUGGAAGUUCUCCUACCGUUCUAUAAAACAAUCUCCAACAAACUGAGUCCAGCAUCCCUCUUAUUGUUCAGUGUUUAUUCUUUUGGAUCCUGUUGUUUUGAAAUCGAUGUUAUUUUCAAGUGGUUCUGCUUCUGCUAAUAGUACAAACAAGAAUCCUUAAGUAUGAGGCAAGACUAUGCUUUAUGACUCCAACAAAGACGCCAAGAGGGACAAAUUUAGUUGAGUGCAGGCCGUUUUAUGCAGAACUAUAGUAUUGAUGCCAAUGCACCGCAUUAAAGAAAAUAGGUUGAAUUGGAUCAGAAAGAACGAGAAACAAUUUAGAGCGGAAUUAUACGGAGGACUCAAAGAUGCAAGUUUACUUUGUCCUCCAAUGUAUGUACAGAACUGGGUGUUCUGCA